rnacentral:rRNA from 1 species
AAAGGAAUUGACGGGACCGCACAAGCGGUGGAUGAUUGUGGAUUAAUUCGAUGCAACGCGAAAACCUUACUACCCUUGACAUGUCCGGAAUCCCGAAGAGAUUUGGGAGUGCUCGCAAGAGAACCGGAACACAGGUGCUGCAUGGCUGUCGUCAGCUCGUGUCGUGAGAUGUUGGGUUAAGUCCCGCAACGAGCGCAACCCUUGUCAUUAGUUGCCAUCAUUUGGUUGGGCACUCUAAUGAGACUGCCGGUGACAAACCGGAGGAAGGUGGGGAUGACGUCAAGUCCUCAUGGCCCUUAUGGGUAGGGCUUCACACGUCAUACAAUGGUCGGUACAGAGGGUUGCCAACCCGCGAGGGGGAGCUAAUCCCACAAAGCCGAUCGUAGUCCGGAUCGCAGUCUGCAACUCGACUGCGUGAAGUCGGAAUCGCUAGUAAUCGUGGAUCAGCAUGUCACGGUGAAUACGUUCCCGGGUCUU